rnacentral:rRNA from 1 species
AAUGAACGCUGGCGGUAUGUCUAACACAUGCAAGUCGAACGAAUGCUUCGGGCUUAGUGGCGAACUGUUGCGUAAAGCGUUGGAAUCUGCCCGUGGGUACGGAACAACUGUUAGAAAUGACUGCUAAUACCGGACGAUGUCGUAAGACCAAAGAUUUAUCGCCCAAGGAUGAGCCCGCGUAGGAUUAGCUAGUUGGUGGUGUAAUGGCCUACCAAGGCGACGAUCCUUAGCUGGUCUGAGAGGAUGACAAGCCACACUGGGACUGAGACACGGCACAGACACAUGAGCGAAGCAGCAGGGAGGAAUAUUGGAACAUGGCCAGGAGACUGAUCGACUGAUGCCGCGUAGAUGUUGCUGAUGUGAGGGUUGUGAAGCUCUUUUACCCGCGCCGAUAAUGACAGCACCGGGAGAGUAAGCACCGGCUAACUUCGUG